rnacentral:rRNA from 1 species
UACGAAGGGGGCUAGCGUUGUUCGGAAUUACUGGGCGUAAAGCGCGCGCAGGCGGUCUUCCAAGUCAGUGGUGAAAGCCUGGAGCUCAACUCCAGAACUGCCAUUGAAACUGUUAGACUUGAGUACGAGAGAGGUGAGUGGAAUUCCCAGUGUAGAGGUGAAAUUCGUAGAUAUUGGGAAGAACACCAGUGGCGAAGGCGACUCACUGGCCCGAUACUGACGCUGAGGCGCGAAAGCGUGGGGAGCAAACAGG